CCAUUGAUAUUAAUUAACCUUUACAUAAAAUCUUUUUUUGUUUCAAGUGUAUUUUUUCUUAAUGUGAAUGCACUAUUGCAUAAGUGAAUGCACAGAAAUUACGAUACUCCUCCUCUUUUGACAGUGAGGAGUGAGAGAGUCCACGUUCUGAAAUCAGAGGAAAGGCUACCCAAUCUUCAGAGAGUAGGAGAAUGUCCUCAAUAAUUCUUCAGAAAAAUUAUACACUUUGUAAGUGCAAAGUUUAGCAUUUCCUUACAACAGGUAGGGAUGUGAAAAUCCAUCUUGUCUUCCACACAUAAACCAAUAAGAUCUCACAGCCACAAUUAAGUGACUGUUUCUGUUGAUAAAGCCUCUGUCCCUGACAGCUUGAUGGCCUCCUCUGGACUCUGGUGUCAGUGCCUAUAUAGGACAGGCACCAGGGAGCUUGAGCUGGUCCUAGCACUCACAGGUGGGUUUGUAUCAGUGCAGAGUAAAAGGUGAGGUUCCUCACCCCAUUGCCUGCACUAAUGGUGACACAACCCUGAAUGGCCUUCUUUGUCACAGGGUGCUCAGUUGGGGUCCCACUCAUCCUAUUGGGACCAUAGCACCUCUUCCACCAAAUUGCUUUCAAGGCCAGCACCUCAUGUCCUGCUGAAUUUGAGUUACUCCCUCCCAGACCCAGAACUAUCUUUGACCACCUGCAUUUGUCUUUGCUGAGUUUCCUGAGGGUUUUGUCCACCUUCCUGUAGGACCUCAGUCCCUAGUGCUGAUUAACUCAACAACAUGAAGCUGGUCCUGGUACUGGGGAGCCACAGUGACCAUUUCUCCAUGGAAGCAUUUUUGGUAGUGUGGAUGUUUACUUGUUUUGGGAUAGACACAGCCCCGAGCAAGUACCACACAAUGACUGUGGAAUAGUCAUCAGGUGUCAUCAGCACCCAUUAGCUCCUAAGCAAUUGUCAGUCUUUAACUAUGGCUUCAUGCUUCUGUCUGACUUAAGGCUGUGUAAAGAUUUAUAAAUCCAGGAGUAGUUUGUUUUCACAUAAUUUUUCUUUAUUGAUGUUAAAGCACUUUGUAAGUACUAAAAAGUCAAUCUUACUCUUCUGGAGCAUUUUGUUAGUUGGGUAAUUAUUCCAGAAAGUGCUUGAUAUUUUAAAAUACUACUUCUUGUCCUGAAAUUGUCAUCCCUAGAAGGAGAAAUGUUGUUGCACUGCCUUGUAAGGAGAGUCUGAAUUCAUUUCACUCAUGAAGAUAAUGGUAUAGUGUCAGAGUGUAUCUAUUUCUAAUUGACUUUAAAAUCAGAAUUGAUUCCUUUGAUUUAGGAUUUAGAAAAAUACCAGUAAGAAAAGAUAGAUUACUUCCUGUUAUCUGCAGAGGGAAUUAAUGAACCCUUCAGGUUGGCAAGAAACUAUUAUUAUUUCCAAGUAAUCUAAUUAAAGGGUAUAACAAAGACAUGCAGCUAUUUAAUUAUUUUAUUACCCAAUUGCUCUACAGUGCAUAAUCAGAGAAGUGUGAGGGAGUGAUUAGGUGUCUUGAGAACGGAAAUGACACAACCAAGAUAUGUAGAUCUUUUAAAGGAUGGAGAAGCUACUGGGAAAAUUGUGCCUCUCUUCCCCACAUGGAAGACUGAAGAUUAUUUUUCCCUGGGAGUGAAGAACAUGACAAUGUAAAUGUGCUGGGGGGUUUUCAGAAGCAGAUAUGAGAUGCUGGUGCUGGGAAAGGUAAAACACACCAGGCUGUGCUUAACUGGUGGCUCUGUUCAGCUCUUGUCUCCACAGGGGCCUUGCAAGCAGGGUCAGCUUGGCCCAUGGGAGGCACCACAGCCGAUCUGUAGGGUGUCCACAGGCACCGAUUGGAUCUUUGCCCUCUGGAUGAUGCAUUGAGGAUGCAUGAUGGGAGCAGAUGCUCACUGUCAGUGAUAUAUAUUGUUCCAAUCAAGUCACUAUCUGGCUUUGUAUGGAGCACCUGUGUCAAUAUCACCUGCAUUACAGAGGCUCAGACUGAUGUUUUCCUCUUGGUCUUGACAUCUAAAGCACUUCCUAGCCAUACCAAUAAUUCCAUGCUUGUACUGAAGCUGAAAAACUAACAGAGCUCUGAGCCACAAAGGAGACAAGGGGAGACUGUGCUGAUGAGCAAGAGCCAGGAUAAAUAACUUCUGCUGUGCUGUUGUCUCUACAAUAAACUUUAAUACUUUGGAAUUACUCACUUCUA